rnacentral:rRNA from 1 species
AGUUUGAUUCUGGCUCAGAGUGAACGCUGGCGGCGUGCCUAAUACAUGCAAGUCGAACGAUGAAGCUCUAGCUUGCUAGAGUGGAUUAGUGGCGCACGGGUGAGUAAUGCAUAGAUAACAUGCCCUUUAGUCUAGGAUAGCCAUUGGAAACGAUGAUUAAUACUGGAUACUCCUUACGAGGGAAAGUUUUUCGCUAAAGGAUUGGUCUAUGUCCUAUCAGCUUGUUGGUGAGGUAAUGGCUCACCAAGGCUAUGACGGGUAUCCGGCCUGAGAGGGUGAACGGACACACUGGAACUGAGACACGGUCCAGACUCCUACGGGAGGCAGCAGUAGGGAAUAUUGCUCAAUGGGGGAAACCCUGAAGCAGCAACGCCGCGUGGAGGAUGAAGGUUUUCGGAUUGUAAACUCCUUUUGUUAGAGAAGAUAAUGACGGUAUCUAACGAAUAAGCACCGGCUAACUCCGUGCCAGCAGCCGCGGUAAUACGGAGGGUGCAAGCGUUACUCGGAAUCACUGGGCGUAAAGAGCGCGUAGGCGGGAUAGCAAGUCAGAUGUGAAAUCCUAUGGCUUAACCAUAGAACUGCAUUUGAAACUGUUAUUCUAGAGUAUGGGAGAGGUAGGUGGAAUUCUUGGUGUAGGGGUAAAAUCCGUAGAGAUCAAGAGGAAUACUCAUUGCGAAGGCGACCUGCUAGAACAUAACUGACGCUGAUGCGCGAAAGCGUGGGGAGCAAACAGGAUUAGAUACCCUGGUAGUCCACGCCCUAAACGAUGAAUGCUAGUUGUUGUGGAGCUUGUCUCUGCAGUAAUGCAGCUAACGCAUUAAGCAUUCCGCCUGGGGAGUACGGUCGCAAGAUUAAAACUCAAAGGAAUAGACGGGGACCCGCACAAGCGGUGGAGCAUGUGGUUUAAUUCGAAGAUACACGAAGAACCUUACCUAGGCUUGACAUUGAUAGAAUCCGCUAGAGAUAGUGGAGUGCUAGCUUGCUAGAACUUGAAAACAGGUGCUGCACGGCUGUCGUCAGCUCGUGUCGUGAGAUGUUGGGUUAAGUCCCGCAACGAGCGCAACCCUCGUCCUUAGUUGCUAACUAUUCGGUAGAGCACUCUAAGGAGACUGCCUUCGCAAGGAGGAGGAAGGUGAGGAUGACGUCAAGUCAUCAUGGCCCUUACGCCUAGGGCUACACACGUGCUACAAUGGGAAGCACAAAGAGAUGCAAUAUUGUGAAAUGGAGCAAAUCUAUAAAACUUCUCUCAGUUCGGAUUGUAGUCUGCAACUCGACUACAUGAAGCUGGAAUCGCUAGUAAUCGUAAAUCAGCUAUGUUACGGUGAAUACGUUCCCGGGUCUUGUACUCACCGCCCGUCACACCAUGGGAGUUGUAUUCGCCUUAAGUCGGAAUGCCAAACUGGCUACCGCCCACGGCGGAUGCAGCGACUGGGGUGAAGUCGUAAAAAGGUAACC